CGCGCAGGCGGCUGCUCAAGUCAGGCGUGAAAGGCCUGGGCUCAACCCGGGAAUUGCGCUUGAGACUGGGCUGGCUUGAGAGCGGGAGAGGAUGGUGGAAUUCCCAGUGUAGAGGUGAAAUGCGUAGAUAUUGGGAAGAACACCUGAGGCGAAGGCGGGUUGCUGGGCCGACACUGACGCUGAGGCGCGAAAGCCAGGGGAGCAAACG
rnacentral:rRNA from 1 species